ensembl:lincRNA Gm36864 predicted gene, 36864
GAGUGCUGUCUGGGGACAGAGAGACAGAAAGCUGGAGCCACAGAUAGAGGGACACAUAGCCUUAGAGCCAGACUGACAGGUUAAUCCAGGAAGCCAUUGGGAGUGCCUGGAAGCAGAGGCUAAUGUAAACUGAGUACAUUCAGAGACUAGCCCCAUCCUGCUCUUCAACAUGGACCAGAACUCCUCUGACCUCCAGAGCAAAGAGACAGCAGCUCCCAGCAGCAGGCAAAAUGAAAUGCAAGACUCUCUGAAAGUGACCUUGAGCCUCCUAGAUGCCACCCAAGAUUUGCUGGACAUAGCCUGGGCCUGCAUCCUCAUCUCCGGUGUCAUGAGUUUCUGUGUAUUCAUGGGUCUCAUCAGCACUAUCUUCUUCCCUAGCACUAACCUGCCCUUAAUGGACUUCUCUCUCUUCAUCUGCAGCCUCUUGACCGGUUUCUUCUCCUAUCUGAACUACAUCAAUUUCUGGUCUAUCCUAUCACUCCAGCCUACAUGGUCUUAAGACAUGACAAUGAACUAACAAUGGCUGUCAGCUGCCUGACAACACCCCCCCCAUACUCAAGUUAUGUAAUUUCUGACUCCCUUCAACCCAGAAUACUAAUUUAUAUUUUAAAGAAAAAUAUCUUCUGCCCAGAGUAUUUCUUUAUUUGGCUCUGUAUGGUGAAUAAAGCAUUUCAUGGAACUGCU